GCCAUCUCAACGGGGUGCAGCUAUUACAAAACAGUACUGCUGAGAACAAACCCGUCGAACCUGAACCGGCUAGUACCGUCGUAGGGAUUUGAGACGCUAAUCAUU
rfam:Xenorhabdus vietnamensis strain DSM 22392 Xvie_7, whole genome shotgun sequence.